rnacentral:lncRNA from 1 species
GCAACCUAAUUGGUUUGGCCAAUUGAAAACGCAACAGGAUCUAAGAUUUUAUAGUAAAACAACCCCAUGAUUACCACAAAUUAAAGAAAGCAGGCAAAUAGGGAGUUUCUAAGGAUAAGCUUCAAUGACAGAUUGUAUUGCAUGAAUAGGUUCUACAUUGAAUCUGGUGAACCCUGCCUCUCCAAGAACAUACUUCCAUUCCUUCAAUGUCCUUUCUUUGCCUUUGUUAGCAUGUGCCAUCAUCACCAUGUCUAAUAUCAACCUCACGAAAUCUAGCUGCUCUCUUUUUAUCUUCUUCCACCACCGCUUGAUCUAUUAUAGCCUCCCCUUUGUCUUCCGGGAUAGCUUCUCUACAUUUCUUUAGGAUUUUUAUGCAUUCCUCAUCAUCCCAGUCAUGUUACACCUUCUGCAAUUCACGAACAUACAUAUAUAUACGUCCUUAAAAGAGUGGGUUUGGUGGUAUAUUGUGGCGCUGAACCGAAGGAACCGAAGUUUUCAUUACUAACCAUUAAGAAAGCAGCGCCCGUCUUUGGGACACACUCGAACAUGUCUCCUCCUAUGUUUUCGACGCCAUCGACUUUUGCUGCAACAGCCACAACAUAAGGAAGAUCGAAGUGGAUGCCAUGAAUCCAAGGGAAUGCCUUUCCCAACAUUGCUAAACCAGUCCCAUUACUUCCACCAAAAUCAACCAAACUUUUAAUGCCAUCAAACACUUGAGGACAUUCUUCGAUUAUGGCUGGCACCGCCACUCUAGCUUCACAAGCCAUUGCUUCGUCUAUGAAUUUGCUAUGUCCUGGGUUCUUCUCUGCAUAGCUCCAUACAUCCUUCCCGUUUGCUGUCUCAAACGGGGAAUUCCCACUGUCAAGGACACGAGAACUUAGACUAUGCCAUGGUGCUAACAUAACAGGGCUGCUCUCUAGUAGAAUCAAAGUCGCCAUGUCGAAUCAAUCGACGAGACAAAAGUGAGUGCAAAACCAGUGGAAUUACAACUUAAAUUGUAAUAUAGUAAAGUUUACAACAAAACACUAGUAAGUAUUCUAAGGACCGUACUCAAGAAAUUGCAUAUAGGAGAAAUAUUUAUUAAAUUAAUUAUAGAAAAUAAUUACUAAUCUAAUCGAGUCAAGAAUUAGUAGUGCGAAUCCAAAUUAAUAUUUUAAUUAAAUUAAUUAAAUAAUUAUAUUAUUCUAGAUUAAGUUAUUUAUCACCCUUAGCUAAGACAAUCCUCCCGGUGUAUCUUCAUUAAGAAUUACCACUUAAGUUACCCUUCUAAUCUCUUCCUAGACAUGCAAAUACUCUUUCGGCUCCCUUGUCUCGCGGUUUGAUCAUCAUCCCUUGUAUUCUUGGACCUUAAUUGACAUCCUACACACUUAAUUAGUCCAUGUGUCACUCACGGGGCCUGAGUCGGCCUUACGGGUCAUCGAAAUGGUAGAAAAUGUGUAAAAAUAUUUAUUUUAUUAAUAUUUUAUUUCUAACCUACUAAUUCUGAAAAUGCAAUACUUAAUUAUAAAAUGCCAAGAAGACAAGCUCAUUAAGUGUAAAAAUGACCUAAAAUAACUACUACAUUUGACAUCAGGUCAAAUACCCCCAUACUUAAGUGUUUGUGUCGAAACCACUUUUUGAAUACAAAAAUAGUUUCGACUUUAAAAAAAUGAAAAUUGGAGUCACCACCGAUCUUUUAUCAAGGUGUGAUCGGAUCACCUAAAAACAAUUUUGGUCUUCGAAUUAAAACAAUGGGUUCGAGAGUCGGUUUCGACGAAGAAGGGUUAGCACCAUCGUAACGCCCAAAAUUGGUACUGAAUUGAUUAUUUAAUGUCUUAGUGUCGAAAAUUUGAAAAGAUUUUAAAAUACGAUUUUUUAAAAGAAAGUUUGAAUAAAUUAAAUUGGAUGAUAAGACCCUCUUAUUUCAAAGAAGUAAAAUGACACACCCAGUGAAUUAAGGUGCAUCAUUUUUAAUCCUCGAAACUAAGUUUGUCUUUUGACUUUUAAAACUCAUGCAUUUAAGUUUGAGAAGGAUAUUUGAUUAUUUAGGUCAAAUGAAAAAUCAGAAUUCAGUAAGUAAGAGUUCAAUUUCUCAAAAUUCCAAAUACCGAAUAUUGCCUUUAUUUUUAGAAAUCGUUAACUCAAGGUAGCAAAAUGUCAUAUCCAGUGAGUUAGGACACAACGUUUUGAAAUCCCAAGAAUAAACUUUUAUUUGAAAUUUGUACAAUUUUAUUGAAAAAGGGAUACUCGGUUAUUUGAAUUUAACGAGAAAAAUUAAAGCCCAGCAAGUUAAGGCACAAUCUUCUCGAAAAUCUUGGAUACCGAGUCUAGUUUCAUAAACUUUUGUAUAAGAAUGUAAUGUAAUUGAAUGACAACAAACGACGCAAAAUGGAUAAUUUGUAAAUAAAUCGUACAUUAAUCAAAUAAACAAUAGAUGAAUACAAACGAAUAAUACACAUAGCAAUAAUAAUCUCAAUCAUAUAUUAUGCAAAUGCUACCAAUAUCAACAUCAAGAAAAUUAAAUGAAUUAUCAAUCUAUUUUAAAAUAUAUAUAAAAAAACAAAGAAAAAAAUAAUCAAAAAAUUAAACAUACAAGAAUUCUAAAAUAAACUAUAUAUGAGUUUGAAAUAGAUUCAAAAUAGAAUUAGAAAAACAUACACUAAUAGUAUUUAUAUGAAUUUUAAAGCAAGUAUUAUAUAAGAAGGAAAUUAAAAUACAUCAAAUAAUGUACAUAUAUUAAUUUAAAAUAAGUAAUACAUAGGGCGUAAAGGAAACUUCAUGCAAACAAUAAUAUAUAAUAAUAUGCAAAAAGUAAAAUAAACUAAAUAUAUGAGGAUAUUUAAAAGAAGUAAAGUAUCUAUAUAUAGAAAUAGGUAUAAAAAAUAUAUAGUUUAAAAUUAAAUAAUAUAUAUUACGUAAGUAUAUAUAUGUAUAAUAAAAACAGUUUAAAAAGAAUAGUAAAUAAUAAGGUAAUAUAUAUAAAUAGGGAAAUAAAAAUAUAAUCAAAUAUAAUAAUAUCAAUAACAAUAAUAAAUAUUAAUAAUAAAAAUAAAAAUAUAUAAAAAUAAAUUAAUUAAUAGAAAAAAUAUCAAUCAGGACAAAAUUGGAAUGAAAACAGAAAUUCUGGGGCAAAUUUGAAAUAAAUAAAAAGGAAAAGGGUCAAAUCGAGUGCGUGAAUAACAAGAAGGGACUAAAGCGGAAAAUAUCCCCGCCCUCCAAAACGCAGCACCUUACAUGGGGCAAAUAUGAAAUCAAAGCAAAAUUUAGGGUAAAAUUAGGAAUAAAAGAGAACUUAAUUACAAAACCAUUAAAAGGCGAAAGGACCAGGGUUGUAAAUAACCCAUUUAACGAAAACACGCGGAUCCCCUAUGGAGCAGGUCGGGUCGCGCACGGGUUGCUUAUACGACGUCGUUUUGGCGCUGAGGGCUCUAACCCAAAACGGCGCCGUUUCUAAUUGUUAUUUAAAUAAAAAAAACUAUUUAAAAAAAAACAUUCUCAGAAGGAAUACUUUUUUUAAAAAAAAAAAGAAAAAGAAAAUGGGCUCUUCUCUGCUAGGGUUUUUCCCCUAGCAAUGUGACGCCACGAACAAGGUUUUCUGCCAUGGCUCCGCCACCGACAACCACCGCACAUGGCAGUCGGAGCCUCAAAAAUCCCCUUUCUCCGGCGAAUCAAAGGAUGUAUCCACUUCCUCUCAUUUUAUUUUUCUAUAUAUAUGCGUAUAAAUGGAUAAAAGAAAAGAAACAUAUUCGGGAAAACUCACCUGUUUUUUGAUUUUAUUUCAUUGCUCCUUUUUUUCUGUUUACAAUCCCUUUUCUUUCUUUUCACUUUUACAAUCAAGUCUGCUUUUUAUUGCUGAUAAUGGAAAAAGGAAAAUGUAAAAAAAAAAGCUAACUUUAAAUGCAUUAUUUGCCUUUGAUUUGCGAUUUUCUGAUUUUAUUGCUUGUUGCCAUUUUUGUUGUGCAGGUACAAGCUUGGAGGGGACGCACGCGAGCGGUGGCACAGCACGCGCGGGGGAAGGCCUGGCUGUUGAGGCGCUGGGAGCUAGAUGCUGCUAGGGUUUUUGGUUCUAUUUUUUGUUUAGGUUGGGCUUAUUGGGCUAGGGGUAUUUAGGCUAGUGGGCUAAAUUAAAUUUAGGCUUUGGGUUAGGGUUUGGGCUAGUGUAAUUGGGUAGUGAAUUUGGGCUUUAAGUUUGGGUUUGUAAAAAGAAACUGGACUGUUUUAUUAUUUUGGUUUUUAUUUUGGUGCUUAUUUAUUUAAUUGGGCCCGGGGCAAAAUUAGGUAUUAUAACUGCCCCUCUUUGCUCAUUAUCGUGUAAUUGGAAUAGAGCAAAGACUUUUAAAAAUAGUCAAUUUUUCCUAGUCAUACUUGAUCUUGGUGUUGCUCUUCCUCAAACAGCCUCAUUCCACCCUACUGCAUCUUCAGAGGUAUUGGUGCUUCGAUCCACUCCACUGUAAAAUAGGAUUUGUAGCUCUUCAAGGGAACAUUUGCUAUCUUCAGUCAGCUUCACUGCAACUUCAGAAAGAUAAAACUUGUAGCUUCCACUUGUUUCACUGUAAUUUUAAGGAAAUAAGGUCUGAUGCGAUCUACUCUACUGCAACUUCAGAGAGAUAAGAUCCAUCAUUUAAUCCGCUCCACUGCAACUUUAGGGAGAUAGGAUUGGUUUCUUUAAUCUGCUCCAGGGAGAUAAGAUUCGCUGCCUUCAACCUUAAUCUGCUCCGCUGCAACGUCAUGGAAACAAGAUUCGAUACCUUUAGCUUUAACCUGUUCCAUUGUAAUGCCCAAGAGAUAGGAUUCGCUGCCUUCAUCUUUAAUCCACUCAACUUCAGAUUUAAUCUAUUUCACUGCAACGCCAGGGAAAUAAGAUUUGCUGCCUUCAGUAUUUAUGCCAGGGAGAUAAGAUUCGCUGCCUUCAGCUUUAAUCUGCUCCGCUGCAACACCAGGGAAACAAUAUUUGCUACCUUUAGCU